UGCAAAUGCACUCUGUGUCACAUAGAAUUUAACUACAUGUGAAAACAAUUUGUUAGUUUGCUAUAGGAAAGAGAUGAGACUUAUCCGUGCAAUUAGUGCCGUAAAAGGUUGAUUGCAUUGAAAUCGCAUUUUACACUAA